GCGGGAGUGUCGUAAUGGUAGCCGAUCAUGGUUCAGGGCCAUGUGCCCGAAAGGGCGUGGGGGUUCGAGUCCCCCCUCCCGCA
rnacentral:tRNA from 1 species